rnacentral:lncRNA from 1 species
GACUCGGAAAGGCAACUCCCUGACCCCUUGCGCUUCCCGAGUGAGGUAAUGCCUCACCCUGCUUCGGCUCGCGCAUGGUGCGUGCACACACUGACCUGUGCCCACUGUCUGGCACUCCCUAGUGAGAUGAACCCGGUACCUCAGAUGGAAAUGCAGAAAUCACCCGUCUUCUGCGUCGCUCACGCUGGGAGCUGUAGACCGGAGCUGUUCCUAUUCGGCCAUCUUGGCUCCUCCCGUGGGCUUUUGGCUCAAUUCUGAAUAAACAGUGAACAUCCAUGUGGGAGCAAUGAGGAGGAACUGUAGCAUCUGAACUGGAAAUUCCCUGUCUCCCCUUAACCAGCACUGGAAGCAGAUGGGAAGAGAAUAGCUGUGACUGACACACACUCUAACCCAGCAACCCUUAGCAUACAAGUGGGGGACCAUAAAGUUUUUCAAGACCCCAAAAGAGGCCAAAGGUCUGAUAAUUGCUGGGAGAAGGUCCACUAUCCAAGAAGAGAAGAGGAAAAGGAAUUAAAGUCU